rnacentral:rRNA from 1 species
UGGGGAAUAUUGCACAAUGGAGGGAACUCUGAUGCAGCGACGCCGCGUGAACGAAGAAGGCUUUCGGGUCGUAAAGUUCUUUUAUAUGGGAAGAUAAUGACGGUACUAUAAGAAAAAGCCCCGGCUAACUACGUGCCAGCAGCCGCGGUAAUACGUAGGGGGCUAGCGUUGUCCGGAAUCACUGGGCGUAAAGGGUUCGCAGGCGGAAAUGCAAGUCAGGUGUAAAAGGCAGUAGCUUAACUACUGUAAGCAUUUGAAACUGCAUAUCUUGAGAAGAGUAGAGGUAAGUGGAAUUUUUAGUGUAGCGGUGAAAUGCGUAGAUAUUAAAAAGAAUACCGGUGGCGAAGGCGACUUACUGGGAUCAUUCUGACGCUGAGGAACGAAAGCGUGGGUAGCAAACAGG